CGAAUGCUGACAUAAGUAACGAUAAUGCGGGUGAAAAACCCGCACGCCGGAAGACCAAGGGUUCCUGUCCAACGUUAAUCGGGGCAGGGUGAGUCGACCCCUAAGGCGAGGCAGAAAUGCGUAGUCGAUGGGCAACGGGUUAAUAUUCCCGUACUGGUGAUAAUUGCGAUGGGGGGACGGAGAAGGUUAGGCUGGCCGGGCGACGGUUGUCCCGGUUUAAGGAUGUAGGCAGGUGAAUUAGGCAAAUCCGGUUCACUAUAUGCUGAGGUCUGAUGACGAGUCACUACGGUGGCGAAGUAGCUGAUACCCUGCUUCCAGGAAAAGCCUCUAAGCUCUAGAUUAUCAUUAAUCGUACCCCAAACCGACACAGGUGGUCAGGUAGAGAAUACUCAGGCGCUUGAGAGAACUCGGGUGAAGGAACUAGGCAAAAUGGUGCCGUAACUUCGGGAGAAGGCACGCUGGCAUUAGGUGAAGUCCCUUGCGGAUGGAGCUCAAGCCAGUCGCAGAUACCAGCUGGCUGCAACUGUUUAUUAAAAACACAGCACUGUGCAAACACGAAAGUGGACGUAUACGGUGUGACGCCUGCCCGGUGCUGGAAGGUUAAUUGAUGGGGUUAUCCGUAAGGAGAAGCUCUUGAUCGAAGCCCCAGUAAACGGCGGCCGUAACUAUAACGGUCCUAAGGUAGCGAAAUUCCUUGUCGGGUAAGUUCCGACCUGCACGAAUGGCGUAAUGAUGGCCAGGCUGUCUCCACCCGAGACUCAGUGAAAUUGAACUCGCUGUGAAGAUGCAGUGUACCCGCGGCAAGACGGAAAGACCCCGUGAACCUUUACUAUAGCU
rnacentral:rRNA from 1 species